rnacentral:tRNA from 1 species
AUAAGAAAGGUGAGGGGGGUAAAAAUUGACUUGCAAUCAAUUAAAGAAUAAGUUUA